rnacentral:rRNA from 1 species
CCUACGGGCGGCAGCAGUGGGGAAUAUUGCACAAUGGGGGAAACCCUGAUGCAGCGACGCCGCGUGAGUGAAGAAGUAUUUCGGUAUGUAAAGCUCUAUCAGCAGGGAAGAAAAUGACAGUACCUGACCAAGAAGCCCCGGCUAACUACGUGCCAGCAGCCGCGGUAAUACGUAGGGGGCAAGCGUUAUCCGGAUUUACUGGGUGUAAAGGGAGCGUAGACGGUUAUGUAAGUCUGGAGUGAAAUGCCGGGGCUUAACCCCGGAACUGCUUUGGAAACUGUGCAGCUAGAGUGCAGGAGAGGUAAGUGGAAUUCCUAGUGUAGCGGUGAAAUGCGUAGAUAUUAGGAGGAACACCAGUGGCGAAGGCGGCUUACUGGACUGUAACUGACGUUGAGGCUCGAAAGCGUGGGGAGCAAACAGGAUUAGAUACCCCAGUAGUC